ACGUUCCGACCUCUAAGCUCAGUAGGCCGCCGAGCAUGGAUUUCUUCACUUACUGGCACCUCGCUGGACGCAAAAUCAGCAGAGACAAGUGGUCCUGUCGUCAUGGGGCUGGCACCCUGGUGGGCAGAGACAGACAGCAAACAAAUGCUUCCACACGUGAGGAAGAUCGUUCCAGGGACAAAUGAGCGCUAGUCAUUAGUGAAGUGAAGAACAGGGGCUACUUAGCUGGGUGUGAGCACGGAACUGACCGUUCCUGGCAGGGGGAGGAGCAAGUGCAAAGGCCCCGAGGCAGGAGAGAGCAGGGGGACAGGCAGAGCCGUAGGGAGGACCCGGGUCUUCAGCACUACCAGGGCCUGGUGGGGACCUUGGAUGCAAUUCUAGUGCCAUCGGCAGAGCUUGGGCAGAGGAAUGCUGAAUGAAUGGGUGAGUGAACCUAUUAUGAGCUUACAGACUGCCUGACUUCCUGCCCCAAAGCCUCCACUCGCCACAGCCGAGGCAGAAGGCCUCCUGCUCCCACCCAGCCUCUGGGGUCUGUUGGUCCCACGAGCAGGGGAGGGCUGUCAAGGAGCCAGGGUCCCGGGAACGCCAGCCUCCUCACCUGUAGGAGGCAAACCCACCGCUUUUGUUCAUGAGGAAACUGAGGCACAGAGCAGUGAAGUCAUCUGUCCAGGGUCUCAAGCUAAGGUGACAAGCGAGACCCAAGACCUGCACCCAACUCAGCCACCACCCCCGAGGGCGAGCUUGAGAGCCGGACAGCAGCGGGAUAAGAGGGCUCAAAUGAAGAGUGGGCUCCUCGGACUUCCCUGGUGGUGCAGUGGUUAAGAAUCCGCCUGCCGAUGCAGGGGACACAGGGAUCGAUCCCUGGUCCGGGAAGACCCCACAUGCUGCGGAGCAACUAAGCCCGUGCGCCACAGCUACUGAGCCUGCACUCUGGAGCCCGUGAGCCACAACUACCGAAGCCCGCACGCCUAGAGCCCGCGCUCCGCAACAAGAGAAGCCACCGCCAUGAGAAACCCGCUCACUGCAGCGAAGAGCAGCUCCCGCUCAACGCAGCUAGAGAAAGCCCACACGCAGCAACAAAGACCCAACGGGGCCAUAAAUAAAUAAAUAAAUAAGU